UAUUUUAAAGAGAGUUUGAUCCUGGCUCAGGACGAACGCUGGCGGCGUGCCUAAUACAUGCAAGUCGAACGAACGGAGGAAGAGCUUGCUCUUCCAAAGUUAGUGGCGGACGGGUGAGUAACACGUGGGCAACCUGCCUGUAAGUUGGGGAUAACUCCGGGAAACCGGGGCUAAUACCGAAUGAUAAAGUGUGGCGCAUGCCACGCUUUUGAAAGAUGGUUUCGGCUAUCGCUUACAGAUGGGCCCGCGGUGCAUUAGCUAGUUGGUAGGGUAAUGGCCUACCAAGGCAACGAUGCAUAGCCGACCUGAGAGGGUGAUCGGCCACACUGGGACUGAGACACGGCCCAGACUCCUACGGGAGGCAGCAGUAGGGAAUCUUCCGCAAUGGACGAAAGUCUGACGGAGCAACGCCGCGUGUAUGAAGAAGGUUUUCGGAUCGUAAAGUACUGUUGUUAGAGAAGAACAAGGAUAAGAGUAACUGCUUGUCCCUUGACGGUAUCUAACCAGAAAGCCACGGCUAACUACGUGCCAGCAGCCGCGGUAAUACGUAGGUGGCAAGCGUUGUCCGGAUUUAUUGGGCGUAAAGCGCGCGCAGGCGGUCUUUUAAGUCUGAUGUGAAAGCCCCCGGCUUAACCGGGGAGGGUCAUUGGAAACUGGAAGACUGGAGUGCAGAAGAGGAGAGUGGAAUUCCACGUGUAGCGGUGAAAUGCGUAGAUAUGUGGAGGAACACCAGUGGCGAAGGCGACUCUCUGGUCUGUAA
rnacentral:rRNA from 1 species